AAGAAGCCUAGCCCACCUGCUACCGCGAUCCCCUCCCCUAACCUUCGAACUACAUGACGCCGCAACCACCGCCUCCCUCCCUGCCUCACCCCGCCGCCGGGCCCCGGCCAUGAAUCGCACCGCCGCCCUGCCCCGACCUUCAACCGCGCUGCCGCCGCAUCCUCCCUCCCGUGCCGCUGCCGCCACCCUCCCCACCUCGCCACCAACCGGCGCUGCGCCGCACCCCUGACCCCAGCCGGAGAUGCCGCCUCACCUCCUCCCUGGAUCUCGUGCCAUCCUCCCCCACACACUGCCGCUGACGAAGGGAGCAACCACCGGUGUGGACUGCUCCACCACCUACCGGCCUUCACCACUCCCCUCCACCAACAUCGGCCCCGCCCCAUCCAUAGAGCCUGGCGUCCCCCAUCUCCCUCCACCUUCCUCUAUGCGUGAUGGACGCCAUGGCACGGGACCGUGAGCUCGCCGGAUUCCUUCCCCUACAGCCAGCGCCACCACCUACAGCUGGCGCCACAGUCGUCCAGGCCGUUCAACUUCGCCGCCUUAGGCCGUGCAACUCCGCCCGUGUGAGCGCGCGUUGCUCCUCCGCAGCUUCUCCACUUCGAGAUGGCAGGGGAAGAUUUCAGAUGUUGAUAUUCAGCAUGUUGCCAAAAGAGUUCGGUGAAAAAAAUCACUCUCCAAAAGACAUCCAAGUAAAAAUUUCAAGAGGCAGAUGAAAAAAAUGUUGAUGGCGAGAUAGAUUUUGGCGAAUUUGCCAGGAUGAUGAAAAAGACCAGCUAUGAUGAUAACUAGGUGGGGAGAUGUCAUUUUUGAGAGUGUGGAUCUUUUUGUAGUUUUUCAAUAACCACCGCAUGUAUGCGUGAUGUACUUAUUGAAGCUUUGGCUGCAUGUCCAUGUACAGUGUGAAUUACUAGAUGAAAAUGGGUGUACGCCCUAUAGGAUGCUGCUUGCACUUAAUGUAUGUGAUUUUUAUUUUUUGAGUUGUUGAUUUGUGUAAGGUAUUUUGAGUUUUGGAAGUUCAAAAUUCUGGUGCUGGAGAGUUUCGCUCCAUCAUGCAUGACAAUAACAAUAUUUCUAGAUAUGAAA